rnacentral:rRNA from 1 species
UACGUAGGGUGCAAGCGUUGUCCGGAAUUAUUGGGCGUAAAGAGCUCGUAGGCGGUUUGUCGCGUCUGCUGUGAAAACCCGAGGCUCAACCUCGGGCCUGCAGUGGGUACGGGCAGACUAGAGUGCGGUAGGGGAGAUUGGAAUUCCCGGUGUAGCGGUGAAAUGCGCAGAUAUCGGGAGGAACACCGGUGGCGAAGGCGGUUCUCUGGGCCUGUACUGACGCUGAGGAGCGAAAGCGUGGGGAGCGGACAGG